rnacentral:rRNA from 1 species
UACGUAGGGUCCAAGCGUUAUCCGGAAUCACUGGGCGUAAAGAGCGCGUAGGCGGCCAGGUAGGUCCGACGUGAAAUCUCGAGGCUCAACCUCGAGCGGUCGUUGGAUACCGCCUGGCUAGAGUCCGGAAGAGGAGAGUGGAAUUCCUGGUGUAGCGGUGAAAUGCGCAGAUAUCAGGAAGAACACCCAUGGCGAAAGCAGCUCUCUGGGACGGUACUGACGCUGAGGCGCGAAAGCGUGGGGAGCGAACAGG